UACAGAGGUCUCAAGCGUUGUUCGGAAUCAUUGGGCGUAAAGAGCGUGUAGGCGGCUUGUUAAGUCUUGCGUGAAAUCUCGGGGCUCAACCCCGAGCGGUCGUGAGAAACUGGCAGGCUAGAGUGCGGGAGAGGAGAGUGGAAUUCCUGGUGUAGCGGUGAAAUGCGCAGAUAUCAGGAAGAACACCCGUGGCGAAGGCGGCUCUCUGGAACGCAACUGACGCUGAGACGCGAAAGCGUGGGGAGCAAACAGG
rnacentral:rRNA from 1 species